rnacentral:miRNA from 14 species
CCUCGUAGCUUGAUCACAAUAUC